rnacentral:rRNA from 1 species
GAAAGGUCGGAAAUCGGAGUUUAAUCCCGCGAUAGUCCAAGAUACCUGGAUUGGUUUUUGAUCAAAAUCUAUAGGCCAUUUGGAUUGGACUGCGACCGAUCAGGCUGUGGGUGAGGUAAUGGCCCACCAAACCUGUAACCGGUACGGGCUCUGAGAGGAGGAGCCCGGAGAUGGGUACUGAGAAAAGGACCCAGGCCCUAUGGGGCGCAGCAGGCGCGAAACCUCUGCAAUAGGCGAAAGCCUGACAGGGUUAUUCUGAGUGACUUUCGCUAAGAAAGUCUUUUGACACCUCUAAAAAUGGUGUAGGAUAAGGGGUGGGCAAGUCUGGUGUCUGCCGCCGCGGUAAUACCAGCACCCCGAGUGGUCGGGACGAUUAUUGGGCCUAAAGCAUCCGUAGCCGGUUUUACAAGUCCUCCGCUAAAUCCACCUGCUUAACAGAGGGGCCGCGGAGGAUACUAUAAGAUUAGGAGGCAGGAGAGGCAAGCGGUACUCAGUGGGUAGGGGUAAAAUCCGUUAAUCCAUUGAAGACCACCAGUGGGGAAGCCGGCUUGCCAGAAUGCGCUGGACGGUGAGGGAUGAAAGCGGGGGGAGCAAACCGGAUUAGAUACCCGGGUAGUCCCAGCUGUAGACGAUGCGGACUCGGGGAUGGAUUAGCUUCAUGUUAGUCCAGUGCCGCAGGGAAGCCGUAAAUUUUGCCGCGUGGGUAGUACGUUCCCAAGACUGAAACUUAAGGGAAUUGGCGGGGGAGCCCAUUGAAUUCCCGCGGCCGCCAGCCGGCCGAAGCACGAAACUUCGCCUUU